UCGAUUACACGAAAGCUUACAGAAUUUCGAGAACAACGAUCGCUCAAGAUAUAAAAUCAAAAAAAUGUCGAAAAUAAUUUUAUUAUUAUCAAUUUUCGUAUUGAUUGGUCUCUAUGCUGGUGCAGAUGCAGAAUGUGGACAAUAUCACUGCCAUCCAUCAAAAGGUAUUCAAUGUUGUACUGAAACAGAUUUAUGUAGUUCAUUUUCGCGUGAAGGUCAGUGCAUAACUCGUGAGGCACGAAUGGCUCAAACCAUUCCAUUUGGAAAAUAAUUAUAACAAUACAGUGAAAAUUUAAAGAUGUAUUUUUCCAAUUAAUAAAACUUUCAAUACAAAAAAAAUUUUUAAUUGCUCUGAUAGCCAAGUUGGCGAGAAAUUGGCGUGAA